AUGUUUGAAGGAGUAGAACGGGUGCUUCGGAGAGUUAGACAUGUGUCAGGGUUGAAGAGGAAUCUAAUUUCGCUUGGAGUUCUACAUGAUGGUGGUAUGAUAUUCCGUUGUGAUCGGGAUAAGAAGACCAUGAGAAUCGUGGAAGAUAAGGUGACCGUGAUGAUGGGAGAUAGGACAUCUUUGCAUCUUUACAAGUUGCAAGGGGGCACUAUUGCAGGUGGAGACAUGGAGACUGAAGUUGUGGGGGUAGCAUAUGUGUUCCAUAGAGGCGGCGGGUCUAUGGCAGACUCGUCGAGUAGCUCUCAGUAA
rnacentral:rRNA from 1 species